GAUGAAGAACGUAGCGAAAUGCGAUACGUAGUGUGAAUUGCAGAAUUCAGUGAAUCAUCGAAUCUUUGAACGCACAUUGCGCCCUUUGGUAUUCCAAAGGGCAUGCCUGUUCGAGCGUCAUUUGUACCUUCAAGCUUUGCUUGGUGUUGGGCGUUUUUUGUCUCCCUCUUUCUGGGAGACUCGCCUUAAAACGAUUGGCAGCCGGCCUACUGGUUUCGGAGCGCAGCACAUAUUUUGCGCUUUGUAUCAGGAGAAAAGGACGGUAAUCCAUCAAGACUCUACAUUUUUAACUUUUGACCUCGGAUCAGGUAGGGAUACCCGCUGAACUUAAGCAUAUCAAUAAGCGGAGGA
rnacentral:misc_RNA from 1 species